UGACAGGCAGAGUGGCAUUGAGAGCACAGGUCAGUUUUCAGAGCACUGACAAGCACCCUCCUCAGUUCAGAAGACAGGCCAGAAUGGGAAACAGAAACAGCUCAUUAGAGCACAGCAAGCAUCUGAUAAGGCCACAAUUGGGUCUCCCAGACGGAGGCUCAGUAGGAAACAAGGCCAGCAGGAAAGAGGGGCCACAGGAAUCUAAUUAAGAGGGGAGGAGGCAUCAUGUGCAGCAGAAACAAACUGAUCUCACAUCACUGCCUCCCUUGUGGGCCAGCUAGGUCAAACCCUCAUGACAUCCAGCACUGGGCCAGCACUGGAAAACUCCCUUGCCACAUCCCAGCCCAGAGACAGCAUAACUGAACAGGAAGAGCUGUCCUGGAUACAAGCUGCAGCCUCAGGGAGGUGGCAUGUGACAUCUCCACAGCAGGCUCAGGGAACGGCAUUUAGCAGAGGUGUUUACACACACCUGGAAGUGAGGGUGGCAAUAGUCCCAAGCUCCUCUGUUCACACUCAGGUCAAACUAAAAACCCAUGGGACCUACACGUUCCCUGCACUACCAGCUGAAUAAGCAGUAGCCACAUUCAGCUCCCAAGUGGGAGUACUUGUGACAUGACACAGGGACAGCCUCAAUUUCCCCUCUCCAGGAGCUAUUCCUAGCAUGAGAUGAGCCAUAGGCCUCCAACCUCAAAAAACACGCUGCUCUCUAGUGAAACAGGCCAAGAGCUUUGUCUAGCACUGAUCUAACAAGUGCCUUGCAAAGCUCAAACAGGCAGGAGCAGACCUUAGAGCUCACACAAUAGGGACACAGAUGCCCUCAAACGUAUGGGAAAUCAGUUCUCUUCCCCCAGCCCACACUGCAUGUGUUUCCUUGGUACCAUUAAUGCAACUUUUCCAAGGUAUUUAUUGCUGAAGGGUUGCAAAGCGCAGCUCAGGUGACAGCAAAUCCCAAACCAAUGAAGAGAAAGAAAAGCCCAGAGCAGGAGAGCAGUGGAAUUUUCCAGCUGGAAAGGGCACACAUGCCCCUGCCACUUGCUCUAGGACUUCUCCAAGCAUAGGCUGCUUCCCUCAGAAUGCAGAAAAACAAAGGGAAGGGAUCACAAGGCAGCUUCCAGAGGGAGCCUGUGCUUGACACAAGCACAAGUCAAAAACAAGAAGGGAAUUGAAUUCAGGCCCACUCCUGUCAGUCAGCAACUACCCUUGUCAGAAGGGAUGGCAGCACUAACCGAACCAGGCAAUUCAUUAGGUUCGGGCACACAGCAAAAGCCCAUGCUCUAUGGAGCAGAACUACAGUGAAAAUCCAGGGUAAUGAGUUGCAAACUGCUUUUGUAAAUGACACUUCUGCAGUGACUCUGGCAGGCUGGGAAGAGAGCUAAUAGGAAAAUCAUUAGGUAGCAUCCCUUUGAUAUUGUUGAAAGGCACAGGCUAUUUUUCCUGCCCCCUGCAUAAUUAACCUGGCAUAUUACCCAUAAUACUCCAAGCUGAUAGUCCCAUGGUGGACCACCUUAGCUGCAUGAGGGGAAAAGAAGGCUAUGGUACAUAGGAGGAAGAUGACUUCUUAAAGCUUAGAAGCUUUAAGAAUCCCCCCUCCCAUACACACACAUCUUCAAUUCCAUCAGCAAUGAACCCCUGCCCUGCCAGGAGAGCAAAGCACUUUAUAAACCUCUGCCACAAAGUCAGCACAGAAGAGAGGCUGGCCUGGGAAAGGCAGCUGCGGAGGAGCUGAUGUGCUCAAGGUUGCCUUCUGCAGCUGUAGCAGAGCUGGGAAAGGACACAGCUUUGUGCUUUGCCCCUUAUUUACAACACUGCCCUUGUCCUUGAUUUCCAUUAUGCUAAACCAGGGAACAGCCUGCACCUCCCUAAGUGAAGAACAGCUCUGAGGAGCAAUGCCUACCCACCUGGCUUGUCUGCCAGCAAGGAGAGGUGUCAUCUCAGUCGUGAUGUAAAAGGUAUAGCAUCACAGCUGGCAGCUGAUCCUGUAGGAACUGGUGCUCUCUAACAGCUGUGAAGGUGACAAUGAAACACCAAGAUGUUACUUAUUGCAUCAGCGCAAAUCAGCCUUACGACUGCUAAUCAUGAGACAGUGACUGAAACAUUAGGGCUGAGAUAAACAGCAUCUUCUGGAAGAGUCUGGAGAGCAAGACAGCCCCACUUCCAAGCUUCAUACUCAUGAAGCUACAGCCCUACAGUCAGCCAAGCUCAAAAUACUCACGAAAAGGCUUAUCUCUGAUGGAGCACAGCUUCACUUACCCACCACCAUCAGCUCUUCUGGAAACAGAGGUAUCAUGUGCAUGAGCACUAAAAAAUGCCUAACAAUACAGAUCCUCUAUAGGAGGUCUGGACCCUGGAAAGGUGUCCUAUCUUCUACUAAAAUUACACUAAGCAAGGACUACUAGCACAGAGCCUCUUAUACUCUGUGGGGAAAUACACAUUUCAGGACUGUUGAAUGACUUUGUGGCACCCAUUACCACCUGGAAUUUCCAGUGUGUAUAUUCAUUCACUAGUGCAGGGACAUCUUUCCUUCUUCUUGACAAGAAAAAGCCACGGUCACAGCUAUCACACUCAUGCAAUUUGCAAUGUAGGAAAUACAUCAAGGCAUCUCGCGAGGUCUACACACCGUGUUCAAAAGCAGUGUGCCUGGGUACUUGGAGGCAGGGAGCAAAGUGCUGCUCUGCUUAACCCUUUGCCUGGUUCACUAAUCAGAGAUGGAAGUACCACCACAGAGCCACUAAGAAGCAGGGUGCAGCUCAGCCUAGGAGGAAAACACGCAUCCUCUUUACAAUGCACCUCUCUGGCUUCAAUCACUUACCUCUGGUAGCUCUGUGGUAGGGCCAAACUUGAUGAAGUAUCAGCAAAAUGUCAACAGUCCCUGAGAGACACCAACCUUCACCAUGGAGCAGAGUGAAACAAUGACAUAUUUCUAAAAACUCUGCUGAGAAAUUCAAUCAGACUGUCAGGCUAAAAUUCCAUAAUAAAAAUACAAGGUUGAGGUUACGAGUAGUAACUGAGAUCACGCUAAACUUUAAUUUACCCAUCUCGAAGCCUCUGGGUUUCUCUCAGACUACACAAAAAUAAGAUAGACAGAUUCAGGUUUUAGUUCCCAUGCAUUAGAUCAAUGCUAUACAGGACUUGGGGGCAGGGGGAACCACAAAAGAAAACUUUGUAUGGGACGAGGUGCCAGAGGUCUGGCUAGCUGGUACCUGCGGGGCAGGUUCUUUCAUUCCUCCCUUCCCCAUUACUCAGAAUGAACAGCAACCUUGAUUCUCUCCAUUGCAAAGUCUGCACCAGGCCCAGACACUGAAGUAACAAACAGCAGCACCAACAGGCCUAUAAAAACAUCAGCUUUGACUGUUGUACCCUGGCAGAAGAUGGGCUUUAUGCGGCUCUCAAAAUCGAAGGCCUCUCCAAACAGCUUAGAUGCACCCAUAUAAACUGUACAAACUGAAAGUUUAGGAAAAGCGUGUUUUACCCAUGCAAUUUGUUACAUUUCAAUACAGCUAUCAAAGUUGAUAGCACUCUCCCUUCUGCCUCCACUGCAAUGAGUAGUAAGCCCAACUCCCUUUAUAUGCAGACGGACCAAUGCGUUUUCCCUCAACAGGAUAAGCAGAACACUAAAACCAAAAACACUCACUGGCUUUUGUGUAAUUUUCCAUUCCUCCGAGAACAGAAAGCUGUUCAGCAAAAUCCUCUUUGCAGGGCUGGUGGGAAAAUGUCCAUCUCUUACCACCACUCUCUUCUAUAGUAAAAAAAGGUUCCCCUUCCCCAGCCUCACUUUGGAGCAGCUCUGCAGGUCCUACUCCUGUAUGUGAGCCAUGGAGCGCGCUGCAAGCCUGUGUGCAGCUCCACAAGCACCGAUGGGAUUUUCACAAGUCUGCACAAGACUCAUUUCAAGAUGGGUCUCCAAUCUGAACACAGAAGGUCUGUCUGCAUCGCUGAUUUUUCCUCCUGCUCUCAACGGAAGACUAAGCUAACAUUCCACUUAUUUAAGAAGGUGAUGAGGGAAGUAAAAGGAUAGAUUUGGAGCCAAAACUUUUUUUUUUUUUUUUUUAUUUUCUGUAAGAAGACUGACAUCAGCAUUGCUUUAUCAUGUUCCAGAAUUGCCUGAUGUUAGCUGGUAUCAACUGAGUCACAGCAGGAAUGCCAGGGACAUUUGUUAGCACGAGGCACAGCUUUAGGGCUAGGGCAGUCUACCAGCACUGCAAUCAGCCGAGAUCCUCUCUUCCAUUUUCCAGCUCAGUGCUCAAUUCCAUAUUAAACAAGCACUAGUACAAGCGGAGCUGCAGAACAUGAAGCCAGACAAUAAAGCCCUGAAGAGCAGAGGGAAGGCAGCUCCGUCUACUUUGUCUCCCUCCAGGUGGAGGAGGCAAACAGAAGUUCAAUAGCUCAAACUCUGUCCUGCUGCAAUAUUGAAGCGAGCUGCAGCUGGAG
rnacentral:lncRNA from 1 species